rnacentral:rRNA from 1 species
CCUACGGGGUGCAGCAGUAGGGAAUCUUCGUCAAUGGGCGCAAGCCUGAACGAGCAAUGCCGCGUGAACGAGGAAGGUCUUCGGAUCGUAAAGUUCUGUUGAAGGGGAAAAAGAGCGGAGAGAGGAAAUGGUCUCCGAUUGAUAUUACCCUUCGAGGAAGUCACGGCUAACUACGUGCCAGCAGCCGCGGUAAUACGUAGGUGGCGAGCGUUAGCCGGAAUGAUUGGGCGUACAGGGUGCGUAGGCGGCCUGCUAAGUCUGGAGUGAAAGGUACCGGCUCAACCGGUACAGGCUCUGGAAACUGGCGGGCUAGAGAGCAGGAGAGGGCGGUGGAACUCCAUGUGUAGCGGUAAAAUGCGUAGAUAUAUGGAAGAACACCAGUGGCGAAGGCGGCCGCCUGGCCUGUGACUGACGCUGAGGCACGAAAGCGUGGGGAGCAAAUAGGAUUAGAUACCCCAGUAGUC